UUUUGAGCAUCCAUUAUGAUAUUCGGUAUUUUUGUUUCUGUACUUGCAAUAGCUGAAGCAAACUUCGACUACCCUGGCAGGCCAGCCUUAGACGAUGUGAAAAAGUUUUAUCUACUUGGAAAUAUAAAUUAUUUGGUGCAUAGAAGCUAUGUUGCAAAAAUUGAAGACAGCGAGCCAACAUGCAUUUACAACAAAGUGGCUAAAGUAGAGAAUACAAAAAUAACUUUUAACCAAAGCUACAUAUAUAAAUCUGGAGACCGUGCAAUCCAUUAUAAGGUUGAGGUGCAGAUUUCGAGACGUCCAGGAUACGACGUGGCCCCCAUACUGUCGGCUGUAGCAGAUACCA